GUUCCUGACCUUUGUAACUGGCGCAAAGCCUUCUCUUGGGUGCUCUCAACGUUCCAGGGACCUGGCUGUACAACACUUGUACCAGUCAAUCCUUUACAUUAACUUGAGUAAUAGAUGUUAGUGUCUGGCUCUGCCUCCCAAGAGUGAAGACAGGAAAGAUGAGCCUGUGUUCCAUUGCUGCACGUGGUGAGCCUUUGAACUGAGAGUGGCUGAGCGCAGAGUAACCCUGGUAGCACCCCUGGGCCACCUGAAACUGAUCGUGCUGUCUUCUUUGGAGUGGCUGCCCCUUUAAAAGAAGACUUAACCCGGGGGACUUUAUCUGGCUCUGUGAUUCAGCUGGAAAGAGACCUGAGCAAGGCCCGGGUAGGGUUGCAGAGCAAAGGGGCGGUUUGUCCUACAGCCUAAAGAAGACAGAACCAUGAUGAAGCGGCAUAGUUCGUCUGCGUAAUACCUGAGGUGCGUUGCCUCAUGCCAAGGAAAUCAAGGACAUGGACACGCAUGGAGUGAGGCCAUGUGACCUGCGUGCUCCCUGCCUUCACCUGCCGCCAUGAUUGGAAGCUUUCUGAGGCCGCCUUAGAAGCCAAGUAGAUGCCAACAUCAAGCCUCUAAUACAGCCUGCAGAACCGCUUGCCCUCUCUCACCUGCUGCCAUGUAAGAUGUGCCUGCUUCACCUUCCGCCAUGAUUGUCAGUUUCCUGAGGCCUCCCCAGCCAUGUGGAACUCUCUGUCUUUUCCAGAAUAUCAUAUAAAUGGAAUCACACGAUAGGCAGCCUUUUGAGUCUGGCUUCUUUGACUGAACAGAAUGCAUUCAAG
rnacentral:lncRNA from 1 species